rnacentral:lncRNA from 1 species
UAAAAUUUUCUAUUUAAUAAAAAUGCAAUAACUACUUUUGAGAUUUCUCUCACUUUGAGAGAACAAAGUGAGAGGAUAAUCGGCCGGCGCCAUCUUUCUCUUCUCUGCCCGCCGCCGAAUUUGGUCAUCGACUGAGCGACGGACCUUCGUAUCAGGUGGUCGUCCAUCUUUCAUAUGCUCAGCUGCUGUUUCCCCUUUAUUUUCGUUCAUCUAGCCAUGCUUCCAGAAUCCACGCAUUAACUAGCGUUACCUUGCCGUAAAUAGAUGAAAAUGGUUGUCUUCUGCGAUGUGGUUUGGUUUUUCUCAUUGGAAGUAUGUAGAUAUGGUGGAUCUAUGACUAAACAUUUCUCCGACUUUCAGAUCUACACCAUCGGCCAGGCCCGGUGGUGAACGAUUCGUCGACGACCAUAUUUUGUUAUCCUCUCAUUCUUAUGUUUCUUUGCGAGAAAAUCUUAAAAUGUAAUUUGAUUUGGGAAAUCUGAAUGUAUCUUUAUUUUCUUUGAAAGCAUACCUGAAAUCCGAUUAUCCUCUCAUUCUUAUGUUUCUUUGCAAGUAAAUCUGAAAAUGUAAUUUGAUUUGGCAAAUCUGAAUGUUUCUUUAUUAUCUUUGAAGUGGGAAGAUAUUUAUGCUGUUAAAGUUCAAAUCACAUUGAUGUUUGGAUGCCUUGCUAGGUUUGUGUUAGUAACAUAAAAUGCAUUUUAGUGAUGACAAAUUUUUUGGUCUCUCAAAUAUGUAUGAACUUCCGACGAUUUUAGCGAUAACAAAUGCCAUGGUUUCCGGCGAUUUUGGUAUGAGAUGAGGGAGAGAAGAUGAG